CCUACGGGUGGCAGCAGUGGGGAAUAUUUGGCAAUGGGCGCAAGCCUGACCCAGCAACGCCGCGUGAAGGAAGAAGGCUUUCGGGUUGUAAACUUCUUUUCUUAGGGACGAAGAUAGUGACGGUACCUCAGGAAUAAGCCACGGCUAACUACGUGCCAGCAGCCGCGGUAAUACGUAGGUGGCAAGCGUUAUCCGGAUUUAUUGGGUGUAAAGGGCGUGUAGGCGGGUAAGCAAGUCAGAUGUGAAAACUCAGGGCUCAACCCUGAGCCUGCAUUUGAAACUGUUUUUCUUGAGUGAUGGAGGGGCAAUCGGAAUUCCGGGUGUAGCGGUGAAAUGCGUAGAUAUACGGAGGAACACCAGUGGCGAAGGCGGAUUGCUGGACAGUAACUGACGCUGAGGCGCGAAGGCGUGGGGAGCAAAAAGGAUUAGAUACCCCAGUAGUC
rnacentral:rRNA from 1 species